ACUCAAAUGAAUAGACGGGGGCUCACACAAGCGGUGGAGCAUGUGGCUUAAUUCGAGGCUACGCGAAGAACCUUAUCCUGGGCUUGACAUGUGCGAAAGCGGUAGGCAGUAGCGGGCGGAAACGUUCCGCGGACCCCGCAAGGGGGGACCUACCACAGGUGCUGCAUGGCUGUCGUCAGCUCGUGUCGUGAGAUGUCGGGUUAAGUCCCAUAACGAGCGAAACCCCUGUCUCCAGUUGCCAGCGAGUCAUGUCGGGGACUCUGGAGAGACUGCCGGUGUUAAACCGGAGGAAGGUGGGGAUGACGUCAAGUCCUCAUGGCCUUUAUGCCCAGGGCUGCACACGUGCUACAAUGGCACGCACAAAGGGCAGCGAGCGCGCGAGCGCAAGCCAAUCCCAAAAAACGUGCCCCAGUUCAGAUCGAAGGCUGCAACUCGCCUUCGUGAAGUUGGAAUCGCUAGUAAUCGCGGGUCAGCAACACCGCGGUGAAUGUGUUCCUGAGCCUUGCACACACCGCCCGU
rnacentral:rRNA from 1 species